rnacentral:tRNA from 3 species
CUUAGCUCAGUUGGUAGAGCAAUUGACUCUUAAUCAAUGGGUCCAGGGUUCGAAUCCCUG